AUCAUCUAUCACAAAAACGCUUUUCUCUCUAAACAAGGCGACGACGAUGGCGAUUCUUUAGGUUUUCGAUAAGUUUCAUGGAUGGGAUCCGGGUUCUAUUGGGAAGCUCUGGACUUGCAAGGAGAUCUAUCUUAAUGAUCAGAUCGGGAGAUUAUGGAAGCAAUAUGGUCUUCUUGCCAUAAGGAUUUAUGGAGAUCUGGAAGUUUUCUUUAGACACGAUCUCAUAUCAACGAAGAUUGGGAUUUUGGAGAUUCGAUCAUGGAAGUAACAAGGGACAACUGGUGGGAAAGGGGGGGGGGGAGCCUCAAAAGAGGGAGAAGGGGUUCGCAAACGGCUGAAGAUCUCUGUUCCACAUUUUGAUAACUCGGACCUGAUCAAGAGUUAUGCUAUGACUCUGAUUGGGCGGUGUAUGAACCCGGAGGAGCAAAAGGUCAACACGUUGCUGGUGAUGCUCCCGAAGAUAUGGAAGGUAGAGGAGAGGGUGACUGGUGCAGAUUUGGGGAAGGGGAUGUUCCAGUUUCAUUUUGAGAAGGAAGAGGAUAUUGAAGCGGUAUUGGAGUCACAGCCAUAUCAUUUUGAUUACUGGAUGAUCUCGAUAGCUCGAUGGCAGCCAAGAAUGACAAGAAGCUUUCCCUCAGAGAUCCCCUUUUGGAUCAAAGCGGAAGGUCUUCCGACAGAUUUUUGGUCAACUCCAGCGUUACAGAGCAUAGGCGAUGCCAUUGGAGAGACAACGGAUGUGGAUCUGGACUAUGGAAAGAUGCGUGUGGUGCUUGAUGGUUUCAAAGAGCUAACGCUGGAAACAACUGUGAAGUUCAAAGGAGGUGAAUUCUAUGACGAGGAAGAGGUCCCGGUGUCUCUUAAAUAUGAGAAAUUGUUUGGCAUUUGCAAGCUUUGUUCUAGUCUCUGCCACGAUGAGGAUCAUUGUCCCCUCAAUCCUAAAAGCGCGUAGAAGAAAACAGACAGCAGAGACAAGCUGACGACUAAGAGAGAUGACCGGGCCAGGAGCUACAAAGGGGUGGUGAUUCAUGGAGAGGAGAGUCAACAUGAGAGGGGCAAAGAUCAGCGGAGCUACUAUGGGAAGGGGAAAGGCAAAAUGCAUGACGAACAGGACUCAAAGUAGGUGCGAGUUCCUGAAAGAGGAAAUAAGAGAUUCUCUUCCUACCACGACAACAACAGAGCUGACGAGGGAACCACAAGACACAGAAACUCUCGUUGGGAGCAGUCUAUGAGUUAUGUGCAGGAAACUCGAGAGAGGGGGCAUCGUGGCACAAGACGUGGGAGGAGUCCUCCGCAUUAUGUACGAGAGGAUCCAAAGGAGGAAGGGGAGCUUCAAGACACAGGUAGUGCAAAUAAAGGUUUUCAAACGGAGGGCAAGACUUCUACAUCUAACAACCCGCAGCAUGAAUCGAAUGGGGCCAAGGUAAACUUGGUUAAGGUUCCUCCUAAACCCUUAGGACUGGAGAAUGGUGCAAAAGCUGUAAUAGCUUCAGAAACUGUUGGUGCUGGGGAAGAAAUGGCGCCGCCAUUGGUCGACAUUGGAAAGGAUAAUACAGGGAAUGAAGUCAUGGAUCUAGAGGAGACUGGGAACCCUAUUGCAGGUGAUGAGGGUUUUAUGUGUGAGGAUGAUGAUUUCCAAAACCUCACUGAUGGAGAGAUGGAGGACUUGAAUGGUUCACAAGAAGUGGUGUUAGAGACCGUUGAAGAAGAGUCACGACCAAAGGAAACCGAAGAGAAGGGACUACAAGUCGGGGAGGAGGAGAAGAAGAAGGGUGCUCGCAAGCUACUACUCAAGCAAACUAUGGCUGCGGGAACUUCAAAGAAGAAGAAGUUCAGGCACUCCUUUCACAGAACAGAAAUGUUCAAGCUCGACAAGGUAAGCGUCAGGGAGAAGGUAUCAGAUUGCAAGAGGAGAAGGGUUCUUCACACCCCAAACAAACUUUUUCUAAGAACUCAACUGCGUCCCAUGUUUAACACAUUUGAUAUAAAGUUGAGGAGUGUUUCUUUGGUUGAUGCGGUUGUUGUUUUUUGUUGGUUUGUUUCAAUAAGCUCUAUGAGCAUUUUUUUAAGGUUUUAUUUGAUUUUUGAUUUUCUGGUUAUCUGGUUAAGUGGCAACUGCCUACUUCUUAUUGUAUUUGGUUAUGGCUUUGGUCUCCGAAAUAAUAAUGGUUUUUCCGGAGUUUUGAUAUGUUUAAAUAUUGGUAUGGUUUUAAGGAACGAUAUGAAGGUGAUAUGGAGUCAAUGGCUAGCUGGUUUGUAGGGAUGCGAUCGAGUUACUUAAUACAAUGGAUGAUGGACCUGAUCUCUUUAAACCAAGCACAGUGGAAGAAUGGCAUAAGGAUGGUGUUGGAUAAGGGUUAUAGGUCUACGGUGGUCUUUAAUCAUGGGUGGAGGUGCAAGGUUUGGAGUUAUGGGUUUGUGCUGGAUCAUCGUAGAGGAGCAUACUCUUGGCUUGGUCU